AUUGAACGCUGGCGGCAUGCCUUACACAUGCAAGUCGAACGGCAGCGGGGACUUCGGUCCGCCGGCGAGUGGCGAACGGGUGAGUAAUGUAUCGGAACGUACCAUUCAGUGGGGGAUAACUAUCCGAAAGGAUAGCUAAUACCGCAUAUUCUGCGAGCAGGAAAGCAGGGGAACGCAAGACCUUGCGCUGAUUGAGCGGCCCAUAUCAGAUUAGCUAGUUGGUGAGGUAACGGCUCACCAAGGCUACGAUCUGUAGCGGGUCUGAGAGGAUGAUCCGCCACACUGGGACUGAGACACGGCCCAGACUCCUACGGGAGGCAGCAGUGGGGAAUUUUGGACAAUGGGCGCAAGCCUGAUCCAGCCAUGCCGCGUGAGUGAAGAAGGCCUUCGGGUUGUAAAGCUCUUUCGGCCGGGAAGAAAUCGCAUCAGCUAAUACCUGGUGUGGAUGACGGUACCGGAGUAAGAAGCACCGGCUAACUACGUGCCAGCCGCCGCGGUAAUAC
rnacentral:rRNA from 1 species